AUCGAACGCUGGCGGCAGGCCUAACACAUGCAAGUCGAACGAGUGGCGGACGGGUGUGUAAUGUCUGGGAAACUGCCCGAUGGAGGGGGAUACCUACUGGAAACGGUAGCUAAUACCGCAUACCAUCGGAUGUGCCCAGAUGGGAUUGGCAAGUGGGUGGGGUAACGGCUCACCUGGGCGACGAUCCCUAGCUGGUCUGAGAGGAUGACCAGCCACACUGGAACGGGGACACGGCCAAGACUCCUACGGAGGGCAGCAGUGGGGAAUAUUGCACAAUGGGCGCAAGCCUGAUGCAGCCAUGCCGCGUGUAGGAGGAGGGCCUUCGGGUGGUAAAGUACUUUCAGCGAGGAGGCGUUACUCGCAGAAGAAGCACCGGCUAACUCCGUGCCAGCAGCCGCGGUAAUUC
rnacentral:rRNA from 1 species